UUGCUUCUGAUUCUUUACCCUAUCUACUCUGUCCCUUACUUUCAACGGCUUUUUUUUCUUCUCGUCGUCCCCUUGCCCCGAAAUCCGAACCCUAACUUUCUCAGAAUUUCUUGGGAAAAUGAAGACUCACCUAAAGAUUUCUCCAAUUUUAUCCCAAUAAUCAUUCAAGAAAUAGAUUAAAUUAAUAUAACAGUUAAAUAAAUUACAUACGCAAAAAAUAAAUUAAAAAAAUCCGAAAGCCGAACAAAAAAAUAUGACAGAGCUCGAUCUGUCCAAGAAAGUCGCCGAUAGAUAUCUGAAGCGAGAAGUCCUCGGCGAAGGUACCUACGGGGUCGUCUACAAAGCCAUUGAUACUAAGACAGGACAGAAAGUCGCAAUUAAAAAGAUUCGGCUUGGCAAGCAAAAGGAAGGGGUAAAUUUUACGGCACUUAGAGAAAUCAAGCUCCUUAAAGAGCUUAAAGAUCCGAAUAUAAUUGAGUUGAUUGAUGCGUUCCCUCAUAAGGGUAACUUGCACCUUGUGUUUGAGUUCAUGGAGACAGACCUUGAAGCUGUUAUUCGGGACAGGAAUAUAUUUCUUUCACCGGCUGACAUAAAAUCUUAUCUUCAGAUGACACUUAAAGGACUUGCUUACUGCCACAAGAAAUGGGUUUUACAUAGGGAUAUGAAACCAAACAACUUGUUAAUAGGAUCUAAUGGACAGCUCAAACUUGCAGAUUUUGGUUUAGCACGAAUAUUUGGGAGCCCAGAUCGCAAGUUCACUCACCAGGUUUUUGCUCGAUGGUAUAGAGCACCUGAGCUGUUGUUUGGUACCAAGCAAUAUGGUGCUGGGGUGGAUGUUUGGGCUGCCGCUUGUAUAUUUGCUGAACUUCUCCUGCGUCGACCUUUUCUGCAGGGUUCAAGUGACAUUGAUCAAUUGGGAAAGAUCUUUGCUGCGUUUGGGACACCAACACCAUCCCAGUGGCCUGAUCUGGUAUACCUUCCUGAUUAUGUGGAGUACCAGCAUGUUCCUGCACCCCCUUUACGUUCCUUGUUUCCAAUGACUAGUGAUGAUGCUUUAGAUUUGCUGUCAAAGAUGUUUACUUAUGAUCCGAAAGCUAGAAUAUCAGUGCAGCAGGCAUUAGAGCACCGGUACUUCUCAUCUGCACCACUGCCUACAGAUCCAGAUAAACUCCCCAGACCUGCACCUAAGCGGGAUUCGAGGGUUUCUGAUUUUAAUUCACAUGAUGGUCCUACUGUCUUAUCACCUCCAAGAAAGACAAGGAGAGUGAUGCCAGACCGUGAGGGUUUGGAAGGAAUUUUUCAUCAUAUCGAUAAGAUUGAGGCAAAUGGUGAAAAUGCAAAUAGGAAUGAACCAGUACCAAUGUCAGUAGACUUUUCUAUCUUUGGAGCAAAACCUCCAAACAGGCCCACAAUUAACAGUGCUGACAGAUCACAUUUAAAGAGGAAGUUAGAUCUGGAAUUCCAGCACCCCGAAUAAGAACAUAUUAUAUCAAGUAUACUCAAAUUUGGUUAUUGUCUAAGGGAUGUAUUAUUGCCAUGACAGCAUUUAUGAGGCUAAUUUUCUUGAAAAAUAUGGGAUGGCAUAUGCACUCAGUGAGAGAUAUGUGCUUUGGUGGAUAAGAAAUCUGAUGAAAAAGGUUCUUGAGAGAUGAUGAGGUGAUCCGUUUAAGAUGGAAGAAAUGAGAGGGGAAGACUUGACAAGUCCAAGAUUUUUCUCUUUUUCAUCAAUCAAACUGAAAAACCGAGCUGUGAAAUUUUAGCUCUCAUGAUGCAUAGCCGAGUUGUUCUACUCUUUCAAAACUCGCGAUUUUAUUGCAUUAUUUUACUUUUUAACCAUAACUCAAACUGAGCACUGGAUUGAUGAAACGUUGGUAGUCUGGCAAGUCCACAAAAUGCUGAACUUGAGGAUUCGUAGGUUUGGAAAAUAAAAUUUCCCUCUUUUCUAGAGGAACAUUAUUAGAUCUUUUGGAAUAUAAUUGAUAUGACACUCUCGUACUAUGAUUAAAA